rnacentral:lncRNA from 1 species
GGCAACAAAGACUCCCUUCUCUGUCGAAUGAAUCUUCAAAUCAUCAUCUUCAAACCACGACUCCGAUCACGGUUUCCAGUUUACUUUAUCUCAGGUGACAGGGGCAGGAGAACACUUCACAAAAUGCACUUUGAUAGCGAGCGAGAUCUUUGAAAUUCAAUCAGAACAGCACUGGGUGAGUAAGAAAUAGGAUUCUUUUCUUGUCUGAGUCGCUAGCGUAGAAGUUUUCUAUCACAGUUAUCGGUAUUCUUUUCAUUUCGGCCAAGCCAGUAAUAGAAGACAUCGACGGUAAGACCAGCAAGUCUAGCGGCAAAUCCUUCAAACAGGAAGGCUCUAGACUGACAGAUUGAUGAGUUCAGUUCUUUUUCCUGAAUUGGGAGAGCAAGAUUCUCUCUUCAUUUUUGGGGGGGAGCGGAGCCUAGCCCUAUAGCUAUAGGCUAUAUAAUAUUCGAUUCUAUUUCCUCUGCUUUGAAUAGUUAGAAUAAAACUCAUUGCUCAUUCAUUCAGAGCUCUUGUCGGUAAAGUAGAUCGAGAGAGAGAAUUGGCUUCUCGAGAAUCUGCUGGAGUCAGAUCAGUAGGGGAGUUCACACCGGGACUUUCUUAAUAGAGAAAGAAUAACCCAUACCCUGCACUUUCUUAUAGGGAAAGGCGAUAACACGACCUGUGGAUUCUUUUUAUUCCCUUUCUUCCGAAUCUCUAUCUCUGAUUGACUAAGAUUCCUUAACGGAGUGUUUCUGCCAGCAAUCCUGUUAGUUCCUUUCUUUCAGUUGUAUCCCUUUUCGCUGUAGUGCUUGAAGCUGUGAGCCAAUCUGAUAGUUACCUUGCCUUAUAAGAGAUUCCUUUGAAAAAGAAAGAGAAAGCUAGCGUAGAAGUUUUCUAUCACAGUUAUCGGUAUUCUUUUCAUUUCGGCCAAGCCAGUAAUAGAAGACAUCGACGGUAAGACCAGCAAGUCUAGCGGCAAAUCCUUCAAACAGGAAGGCUCUAGACUGACUGAUUGAUGAGUUCAGUUCUUUAUCUAAGGCCAUGCCCUCCGUAGAGGUAGGAGUCUCAGGUAGUCCAGCUUUGAGGAAAGGCGUUGUUCUUAUCCGGUACUCGGUUUCUUCGUUAGAUCAGAUUUCUUUCUCAUUUUUGAGUUUAGGAAUAGCGUUGAAUCUCGAGAAUGGGAAUGUCUGACUUUUUUCUUUCUUUUUUCCCCUGAGUCAGAUNN